rnacentral:sRNA from 1 species
GUUAUAAUCAAAUAUUGCUGGCCUGAGAGCCAUUCUGUUUCCAUCAAGUGGUUUAUCUCUAUUUUGAUCUAUUGAAUGUAGUAAGCCACAAGAAGCAUUUGGCUUUGAACAAGCAGCCAGGGACUAUACCCUCCGUACUUUUGGGGAAAUGGCAGAUGCGUUCAAAUCUGAUUACUUCAACAUGCCAGUCCAUAUGGUCCCCACAGAGCUUGUUGAGAAAGAAUUUUGGAGACUAGUAAGCACUAUUGAGGAGGAUGUCACAGUGGAAUAUGGAGCUGACAUUGCCUCAAAGGAAUUUGGCAGUGGCUUUCCUGUCCGAGAUGGGAAAAUCAAACUCUCACCUGAGGAAGAGGAGUAUCUUGAUAGUGGCUGGAAUUUGAACAACAUGCCAGUGAUGGAGCAGUCUGUCCUUGCACAUAUUACUGCUGAUAUAUGUGGCAUGAAACUUCCUUGGUUGUAUGUGGGAAUGUGCUUUUCUUCAUUCUGUUGGCAUAUUGAAGACCACUGGAGCUAUUCAAUUAACUACUUGCACUGGGGUGAGCCAAAAACCUGGUAUGG